rnacentral:lncRNA from 1 species
GGAUUACAGGUGCCCGCCAGCGUGCCUGGCCAACUUUUUGUUUUUAGUAGAGAUGGAAUUUCACCAUGUUGGUCAGGCUGGUCUCGAACUCCUGAUCUCAUGAUCUGCCCACCUCGGCCUCCCAAAGUGCUGGGAUUACAGGCCUGAGCCACUUUAGCCAGGAUAUACUUAAUUAUAAAGACAACUGUGGAUAUGAAGUUUUUUUUUCUUUUCAGAUGGAGUUUCACUCUUGUUGCCCAGGCUAUGGGAAGAAAUGAAAUCAUUACGACUAACAGAUCUAAAAAGCAUGAGAACGUCCCAGAGGGACGCAGGGGUGUGUUCCGAGUGUGCUACAGACAGGUUUCCUGACACCAGCCUCAAGAAGCCACAGAUAAGGAUGGAAAUGGUAUGAAGAGACUCUUCCUCUUUCCCAAGACUCCUGAAGCCAUUGUAAGCUUCCUUCUUGGUGCUCCUCACUGGCGUAGAC